AGAUGUGAGAGCAAUCUGGCUGAGACAUCUGUCAGCCUUUGUUCAUCAGCACUGACUCCACGGAUCUGCCUGGUGAGGCAGAUGUCCCCCUCCUUCCCCACAGCUCCAUGUGUAGCCUCCCCUGAGGCUGCACGUGGACAUGCUGCCAGCAAACAGGAGGGGAAGCCAUGGACUUGAGUGAGGUUGCAUCAAGAAAGAGUAGCGAGUAAGAGGCGAGAGGGCCUGGGACUCCUUACU
rnacentral:sRNA from 1 species